CAGGACGAACGCUGGCGGCGUGCCUAAUACAUGCAAGUCGAACGGUCUUUCUAUGGAAGCUUGCUUCCACUGAGAAGAUAGUGGCGAACGGGUGAGUAACACGUGGGUAACCUGCCCAUAAGAGGGGGAUAACAUCCGGAAACGGGUGCUAAUACCGCAUAGUUUUCUUGAUCGCAUGAUCGGGAAAGGAAAGACGGCCUUUGUGCUGUCGCUUAUGGAUGGACCCGCGGCGUAUUAGUUAGUUGGUGAGGUAACGGCUCACCAAGACGAUGAUACGUAGCCGACCUGAGAGGGUGAUCGGCCACAUUGGGACUGAGACACGGCCCAAACUCCUACGGGAGGCAGCAGUAGGGAAUCUUCCGCAAUGGACGAAAGUCUGACGGAGCAACGCCGCGUGAGUGAAGAAAGGUUUUCGGAUCGUAAAACUCUGUUGUCAGAGAAGAACAAGUUGGAGAGUAACUGCUCCAGCCUUGACGGUAUCUGACCAGAAAGCCACGGCUAACUACGUGCCAGCAGCGGC
rnacentral:rRNA from 1 species